AUUGAACGCUGGCGGCAUGCCUUACACAUGCAAGUCGAACGGUAACAGGUCCUCGGAUGCUGACGAGUGGCGAACGGGUGAGUAAUACAUCGGAACGUGCCCGAUCGUGGGGGAUAACGAAGCGAAAGCUUUGCUAAUACCGCAUAAGAUCUACGGAUGAAAGCAGGGGACCGCAAGGCCUUGCGCGAACGGAGCGGCCGAUGGCAGAUUAGGUAGUUAGUGGGAUAAAAGCUUACCAAGCCGACGAUCUGUAGCUGGUCUGAGAGGACGACCAGCCACACUGGGACUGAGACACGGCCCAGACUCCUACGGGAGGCAGCAGUGGGGAAUUUUGGACAAUGGGCGAAAGCCUGAUCCAGCCAUGCCGCGUGCAGGAUGAAGGCCUUCGGGUUGUAAACUGCUUUUGUACGGAACGAAAAGACUCUGGUUAAUACCUGGGGUCCAUGACGGUACCGUAAGAAUAAGCACCGGCUAACUACGUGCCAGCCGCCGCGGUAAAAC
rnacentral:rRNA from 1 species